rnacentral:rRNA from 1 species
AGAGUUUGAUCCUGGCUCAGGAUGAACGCUAGCGGCAGGCCUAACACAUGCAAGUCGAGGGGUAGAGUUUCUUCGGAGACUUGAGACCGGCGCACGGGUGCGUAACGCGUAUGCAAUCUACCCUUUACUGGGGAAUAGCCCGGAGAAAUUCGGAUUAAUGCCCCAUAUGCCCGCGGAAUCGCAUGGUUCAGUGGGGAAAGCUGAGGCGGUAAAGGAUGAGCAUGCGUCCCAUUAGCUAGUUGGUGAGGUAACGGCUCACCAAGGCGACGAUGGGUAGGGGGCCUGAGAGGGUGAUCCCCCACACUGGUACUGAGACACGGACCAGACUCCUACGGGAGGCAGCAGUGAGGAAUAUUGGGCAAUGGAGGCAACUCUGACCCAGCCAUGCCGCGUGCAGGAAGACGGCCCUC